UACAGAGGUCUCAAGCGUUGUUCGGAUUCAUUGGGCGUAAAGGGUGCGUAGGUGGUGAUGCAAGUCUGGUGUGAAAUCUCGGAGCUCAACUCCGAAAUUGCACCGGAUACUGCGUGACUCGAGGACUGUAGAGGAGAUCGGAAUUCACGGUGUAGCAGUGAAAUGCGUAGAUAUCGUGAGGAAGACCAGUUGCGAAGGCGGAUCUCUGGGCCGAUACUGACGCUGAGGAGCGAAAGCGUGGGGAGCGAACAGG
rnacentral:rRNA from 1 species